rnacentral:rRNA from 1 species
AUCAACUUUCGAUGGUAGGAUAGAGGCCUACCAUGGUUUUAACGGAUAACGGGAAAUUAGGGUUCGAUUCCGGAGAGGGAGCCUGAGAAACGGCUAUCACAUCCAAGGAAGGCAGCAGGCACGCAAAUUACCCAAUCCCGACAUGGGGAGGUAGUGACAAUAAAUAACAAUACAGGGCUCAUUUGGGUCUCGUAAUUGGAAUGAGUACAAUUUAAAUCUCUUAACGAGGAACAAUUGGAGGGCAAGUCUGGUGCCAGCAGCCGCGGUAAUUCCAGCUCCAAUAGCGUAUAUUAAAGUUGUUGCAGUUAAAAAGCUCGUAGUUGAAUUUCGGGAUUGACACAUCGGUCGUGCCUUAAGGGGUAUGAACUGGUGUAGUCAAUUUCUCACCUUCUGGAGAACCGCGAUGCCCUUAAUUGGGUGUCGCGGGGAACCAGGACCUUUACUUUGAAAAAAUUAGAGUGUUUAAAGCAGGCAUUUUGCUUGAAUACAUUAGCAUGGAAUAAUAAAAUAGGACGGCAUGAUUCUAUUUUGUUGGUUUCUAGGAUCACCGUAAUGAUUAAUAGGGAUAGUCGGGGGCAUCAGUAUUCAAUCGUCAGAGGUGAAAUUCUUGGAUUGAUUGAAGACUAAACUACUGCGAAAGCAUUUGCCAAGGAUGUUUUCAUUAAUCAAGAACGAAAGUUAGGGGAUCGAAGACGAUCAGAUACCGUCGUAGUCUUAACCAUAAACUAUGCCGACUAGGGAUCGGACGAAGUUAAUUUUAUAAUGACGCGUUCGACACCUUACGGGAAACCAAAGUGUUUGGGUUC